rnacentral:rRNA from 1 species
UGGUCAAUAGCCUAACGGCUGAACCAGCAACUUGGAGGAAUGUAUAGCGCAAGCUAAUUGCACUGGCCUUUGGUUGGUGCAAGAUCGACCAUGUUGAAUAAAGUUCUAGGUAGAGUUAUGAUAAUGACAUUUUCUAUCUAUGUGUCUUGACCAAGUCACGUGCCAGCAGUCGCGGUAAUACGUGGAAGACUAGUGUUAUUCAUCUUUAAUUGGUUUAAAGGGUACCUAGACGGUUAAUCAAACCCCCCCUACGGGGGGUAUUAAUUGACUAGAGUUUUAUAUGAGGAGGGGAGUACUAAAGAGUGUAGAGAUGAAAUUCUGUGAUACCUGCCUUGGAACAGGCAACGGCGAAGGCAACCUUUUAUGUAAAAACUGACGUUGAAGGACGAAGGCUUAGGACACCAACAGGAUUAGAUACCCCAGCAGUCUAAGCAGACAAUGAUGAAUGUCAUAGAUUAGAAUUAUAAUUUUGUCUAUAAAUGAAAGUGUAAGCAUUCCACCUCAAGAGUAAUGUGGCAACGCAGAAACUGAAAUCAUUAGACCGUUUCUGAAACCAGUAGUGAAGUAUGUUGUUUAAUUUGAUGAUCCGCAAAACACCUUACCACAAUUUGAAUAUUAUUUAUUUGAAUAAUUUUUUUUGAAUAUAUAUUACAAGCGUUGCACGGCUGUUUUCAGUUAAUGUCGUGAGAUUUUGGUUAGUUCCAUUAAAUUAACGUAAACCCUUACUUUAUUUAUUAUUAUAAAGUAGUUCACCGCUAUAUKGGAUAUGAUAAAAGGGAAUAAUACAAGUCAAUAUGGCCUUGAUAUUGUGGGC